GGUCGGUUAGCUCAGUUGGUUAGAGCGUGGUGCUAAUAGAAUUCCAACCAAGAUUCUUGCAACGCCAAGGUCGUGGGUUCGACCCCCAUACUGACCA